CAAGUAACGUCAUUAAGGGAUCAUAGCUUUCAACCUGAUCCGUCUGUCAUGGAAAGAGCAGGUGUUCAUAAGGUUUUGUAUUUAGAGUAAAACCUUGUAUCUGUAUGUUAAUGAUACAUCUUAGUUUUACAGAUCGUAUAAUGUCUUGCACAAGAUCAACCGGCUAUAUACUCUAUGUAUGGACAAUAGAAAGCCAAGUAUUACAGGCCAUUUCUUUUGAGACGUUAGAGCUUUUUUUUGCUGUGAAUGUCUGAAGCUCUCACAACAGGAAAGAUAGGGGUCGGUCAGCACGGAGGACGCUCUCACAACAGGAAAGAGGACGCUCUCGCAACAGGAAAGGUGGGGGUCGGUCAGCACGGAGGACGCUCUCGCAACAGGAAAGAUAGGGGUCGGUCAGCACGGAGGACGCUCUCGCAACAAGAAAGGUGGGGGUCGGUCAGCACGGAGGACGCUCUCGCAACAGGAAAGAUGGGGGUCGGUCAGCACGGAGGACGCUCUCGCAACAGGAAAGGUGGGGGUCGGUCAGCACGGAGGACGCUCUCGCAACAGGAAAGGUGGGGGUCGGUCAGCACGGAGG
rnacentral:lncRNA from 1 species